rnacentral:rRNA from 1 species
AUUGAACGCUGGCGGCAGGCCUAACACAUGCAAGUCGAACGAGUGGCGGACGGGUGAGUAAUGUCUGGGAAACUGCCCAAUGGAGGGGGAUAACUACUCGAAACAGUAGCUAAUACCGCAUACCAUCAGAUCUGCCCAGAUGGGAUUAGCUUGUUGGUGGGGUAACGGCUCACCAAGGCGACGAUCCCUAGCUGGUUUGAGAGGAUGACCAGCCACACUGGGACUGAGACACGGGCCAGAAUCCUACGGGAGGCAGCAGUGGGGAAUAUUGCACAAUGGGCGAAAGCCGGAUGCAGCCAUGCCGCGUGUAUGAUGAAGGCCUUCGGGUUGUAAAGUACUUUCGGCGGGGAAGCGGUAGCAGAAGAAGAAGCACCGGCUAACUACGUGCCAGCAGCCGCGGUAAUAG